rnacentral:rRNA from 1 species
CCUACGGGGGGCUGCAGUGAGGAAUAUUGGUCAAUGGUCGGGAGACUGAACCAGCCAAGCCGCGUGAGGGAUGAAGGUACAGAGUAUCGUAAACCUCUUUUGCCAGGGAACAAAGGCGGGGACGCGUCCCCGGAUGAGUGUACCUGAAGAAAAAGCAUCGGCAAACUCCGUGCCAGCAGCCGCGGUAAUACGGAGGAUGCGAGCGUUAGCCGGAUUUAUGGGGUUAAAAGGGUGCGCAGGCGGUCUUGUAAGUCAGCGGUCAAAGCCCGGGGCUCAACCCCGGCCCGCCGUUGAAACUGGCAGUCUCGAGUUGGAGAGAAGUAUGCGGAAUGCGCGGUGUAGCGGUGAAAUGCAUAGAUAUCGCGCAGAACUCCGAUUGCGAAGGCAGCAUGCCGGCUCCACACUGACGCUGAGGCACGAAAGCGUGGGUAUCGAACAGGAUUAGAUACCCUUGUAGUC